rnacentral:rRNA from 1 species
UGGGGAAUUUUGGACAAUGGGGGAAACCCUGAUCCAGCCAUCCCGCGUGUGCGAUGAAGGCCUUCGGGUUGUAAAGCACUUUUGGCAGGAAAGAAACGUCGCGGGUUAAUACCCCGCGAAACUGACGGUACCUGCAGAAUAAGCACCGGCUAACUACGUGCCAGCAGCCGCGGUAAUACGUAGGGUGCAAGCGUUAAUCGGAAUUACUGGGCGUAAAGCGUGCGCAGGCGGUUCGGAAAGAAAGAUGUGAAAUCCCAGAGCUUAACUUUGGAACUGCAUUUUUAACUACCGGGCUAGAGUGUGUCAGAGGGAGGUGGAAUUCCGCGUGUAGCAGUGAAAUGCGUAGAUAUGCGGAGGAACACCGAUGGCGAAGGCAGCCUCCUGGGAUAACACUGACGCUCAUGCACGAAAGCGUGGGGAGCAAACAGGAUUAGAUACCCUGGUAGUCCACGCCCUAAACGAUGUCAACUAGCUGUUGGGGGCCUUCGGGCCUUGGUAGCGCAGCUAACGCGUGGAGUUGACCGCCUGGGGAGUACGGUCGCAAGAUU